rnacentral:misc_RNA from 1 species
GAUGAAGAACGCAGCGAAAUGCGAUAAGUAAUGUGAAUUGCAGAAUUCAGUGAAUCAUCGAAUCUUUGAACGCACAUUGCGCCCGCCAGUAUUCUGGCGGGCAUGCCUGUUCGAGCGUCAGUACAACCCUCAGGCCCCCGGGCCUGGCGUUGGGGAUCGGCGGAGCCCCCCGUGGGCACACGCCGUCCCCCAAAUGCAGUGGCGGUCCCGCCGCAGCUUCCAUCGCGUAGUAGCUAACACCUCGCGACUGGAGAGCGGCGCGGCCACGCCGUAAAACACCCAACUCUUCUGAAGUUGACCUCGAAUCAGGUAGGAAUACCCGCUGAACUUAAGCAUAUCAAUAAGCGGAGGA